GACGAACGCUGGCGGCGUGCUUAACACAUGCAAGCCGAGCGGUAAGGCCCUUCGGGGUACACGAGCGGCGAACGGGUGAGUAACACGUGAGUAAUCUGCCCAUCACUUCGGGAUAACUCCGGGAAACCGGUGCUAAUACCGAAUAUGACCACUUCAGGCAUCUGAUGGUGGUGGAAAGUUCCGGCGGUGAUGGAUGAGCUCGCGGCCUAUCAGCUUGUUGGUGGGGUAGUGGCCUACCAAGGCUUCGACGGGUAGCCGGCCUGAGAGGGUGACCGGCCACACUGGGACUGAGACACGGCCCAGACUCCUACGGGAGGCAGCAGUGGGGAAUAUUGGAUAAUGGGCGAAAGCCUGAUCCAGCAACGCCGCGUGAGGGAUGACGGCCUUCGGGUUGUAAACCUCUUUCAGCAGGGACGAAGCGCAAGUGACGGUACCUGCAGAAGAAGCACCGGCCAACUACGUG
rnacentral:rRNA from 1 species